ACCUACUGGUUCCUGGACCAAGCUACGCUUCCACCCUGGGGCAUGUCUGCCUUCUCCAUCGUACACUGCUUCGCGUGGUGUAUACGGGGCGUCACGAAGCCGGUACCACAGCAUGAGGACUUAUACAUGGCGACGCAGAAUGGGAUCGGCGCUUUCUGCUCC